AUGCCCCUAGGGAGAAGGACCGGCUGCCUCGCAGACGCCUCGCCCUCCCGUCUGCAGCGCCCAGAAGGUUUAUAUGAACACUCAGUGGGGGGAAAAAAACCGGCUGUCCCCGUCCAGAGUGGCCAGCGGAAGCCAGUCCCCCGGCACCCUCUCCCAGCCCUUGUCCUACUUCAGUCGGCCCUGAAGGUGCUGGUUCACGGGGGGGGGCUCUUCGUGCUGGUCGCCGUGAGCCAUCACCCCUCUCCGGCCGCGGUCAACUGCUGUGUGUAACAGAGACAGCAGGUGCCUCUCAGUGUGGCUGGCGUGAGAACCGAAGGGAAUCACGGAAUCACAUACACUCGUGCCGAGGAGACAGAGGUGGGAGGAGACUGCCCUCCCUCUCCUCUUGUCCAGCGUGCAGGCUGGGCCUGAGAAUGCCGUCUGGUGGAGGCCAUCAGCUACCUCGAGGGUCUCAGCAGCUUAUCAAAGAGAAGAAGAAGUGGUUAACCCUAGAUCCCACUGGCGGAUGUAGGGAAACACCUCCCUGAAGAAAGGAAAACUUCAUGCUAAUUAAUACAAGGGUGCCACGCCCCCCACCUCUCGGGUGGGUCACACGAAAUAGACGGAGGAAGACGGACUUACCAGCUGUGGGACCAUGGCCUGCUCACUUCCCCUCUCUGCACCUCAGCUUCUAUUUCUGUAAAAUAGGAACAAGAUAUUUGCUUACUAUUUAUUAUUAAUAACAACGGUAGUGUUUGUGUUGAAAAGCUGCUGUGCAGAAAGUGUGCAACAUACGGGACGGGCAGCUGGCACCCAGUUCGUGCUCCGUAAAUAUCGGUUCCUUUCUCCCUUCUCUUAUUUCUCUGUCUGUGCGAGGUGGACCUGUUUGCUUACAUGCCAUGCUCCGCACUCUUGCUGCCCACUGUGAAUCUGUCCCUUUGACACUUGAGUUUUCACCCGCUGUGGGGUCACCCUGACUCUGGCGGCCUUCUUGCUCGGCAAUCCCACCAGCCCCCUGUGACGCAGACACACGCCCGUCACGUCCUGGGUGUGGCUGUGUGUCUGUCUGUGCCCUACUCAACUGUGAGCUCACUGAUUAAAUAGAGAUUUAUUUAGAAGUCUUAAAUGUCUGCCUUUAUUGUUUUUAAGGUUAUGUAUUUACUGUGAGAGAGAGCGGGGAGGGGCAGGGAGAGGGAGAGAGAAUCCCAGGCAGGCUCCGCACUGUCAGGGCAGAGCUGGAUGCAGGGCUUGAUCUCAUGAUCCCCGAGAGCAUGACUUAGGCCAAGAUCAAGAAUCGGAUGCUUAACUGACAGAGCCACGCAGGUGCCCCUUAAAUGUCUGCCUUUGAAAUGGAGAGACUAUUAUAUACCAAGCACCGUGCCAAGGAAUAGGAGAGGGCAGAGACUGAAACAGGCAGGGUACCUGGCCUCUACGGGCAUAAAUUCAAUGCGGGGAGGGAAACGGAAACCAAAAUACAAGUAAACAGUAAGGUCAUGAAUAUUUGUCAUAUGUCCUCCCAAGGGUGGGAACCAAAGGACUGAGGCAAGAGAAACUGAAAGAAGAUGAUCUGGGCAGGAAAAGCUUUCAAAGGAAACUCCAUUCAAUGAGGAUGCCACAGAAGCCACAAAGGAUGGCAUCUGAUGUGCUCUCGUAUGACAUCAAACAUUAUAGAACCGUCCAGGCGAAGAGGUGGAGGCAAUUGGAUAUGCAAAGGUCCUGAGGUAGGAAAGAGCUUGGUGGCUCUUGAGAUAAAGGGAAAUUUUUGUACUGGAGUGGAACGAAUGGGACAGAGAGCUGUGAACGGUAAACGCAACAAAGGAGGCAGGAAGCAGGUCACAGGGCUCGGUAGGACAAAGGGAGGCAUUUUGCUUAGAGAUCCGCAAACUGGUUUUUAUAAAUAAAGUUU
ensembl:lncRNA